UUCGGUUGUUCCUGCCAGUAGUUAUAUGCUUGUCUCAAAAAAUAAGCCAUGCAUGUCUAAGUACACACGAAUUAAAAGUGAAACCGCAAAAGGCUCAUUAUAUCAGUUAUGGUUCCUUAGAUCGUUAACAGUUACUUGGAUAACUGUGGUAAUUCUAGAGCUAAUACAUGCAAUAUAAACACGGACCUUUGGGACGUGUGCUUUUAUUAGGCUAAAACCAAGCGAUUUUAUGAUCGUUAUUAUGUUUGAACUCUAGAUAACUUGCUGAUUGUAUAGUCUUGUACCGACGUCAGAUCUUUUAAAUGUCUGUAUCUAGGACUACCAUGGUUGCAAUGGAUAACGGGGAAUCACGGUUCGAUUCCGGAGAGGGAACCUGAGAAACGGCUACCACAUCUAAGGAAGGCAGCAGGCGCGUAAAUUACCCACUCACAGCUCGGGGAGGUAGUGACGAAAAAUAACAAUACAGGACUCAUAUUAGGGGCCCUGUAAUUGGAAUGAGUACACUUUAAAUCCCUUAACAAGGACCUAUUGGAGGGCAAGUCUUGUGCCAGCAGCCGCGGUAACUCCAGCUCCAAAAGCGUAUAUUAAAGUUAUUGCGGUUAAAGCGUUCGUAGUUGAACUUGUGCUUCAUACGGGUAGUACAGCUAUAAUUGUAGUUUGUACUGUACCUUAUGUAUAUAAGCGUAUUAUCGGUGGGGUUCUUAUAUGCAUUUAAUACUUGUAUUUUUGUAUAUUCCUCUUAUUUAAACCUGCUUCAGUGCUCUUUAUCGAGUGUUGUUGUGGACCGGUACAAUUACUUUGAACAAUGCCUGAAUAUUUUGUGCAUGAAAUAAUACCUCUGUUCUACUUUCAUUGGUUUUUAGAUCAAGAGGUUAUGAUUAAUAGAAGCAGUUUAGGGGCAUUAGUAUUACGACGCGAGAGGUGAAAUUCUUGGACCGUCGUAAGACUAACUUAAGCGUAAGCAUUUGCCAAAGAUGUUUUCAUUAAUCAAGAACGAAAGUGAGAUGUUCGAAGGCGAUCAGAUACCGCCCUAGUUCUAACCAUAAACGAUGCGAGCUAGCAAUUGGGUGUAGCUACUAUCAUGGCUCUCUCAGUCGCUUCCCGGGAAACCAAAGCUUUUGGGAUCAGGGGGAAGUACGGUUGCAAAGCUGAUCGAAUCUAUGGGUGGUGGUGCAUGGCCGUUCUUAGUUCGUGGAGUGAUUUGUCUGGUUAAUUCCGAUAACGAACAAGACUCAAAUAUAUUAAAUAGAUGCUUUCAGGAUUAUAGUUUUAAAGCUUUUGUAGCUUUCAUUCAUGAUCGCAGUAAAAUGUGUAAGUGUUUGAAUGUGUUUUUGAAAGUGUAGCCGUACCUGUUGGUUUGUCCUAUUAUAAGGACACUAGCUUCUUAAAUGGACAAAUUGAGUCUAGCAAUAAUGAGAUUGAGCAAUAACAGGUCUGUGAUGCCCUUAGAUGUUUGGGCUGCACGCGCGCUACAAUGAAAAUAUCAACGUGUAUUUCCUAGACCGAAAGGUCCAGGUAAACCGCUAGACCACUUUCAUGCUUGGGAUUGUGAACUGAAACUGUUCACAUGAACUUGGAAUUCCUAGUAAGUUCGAGUCAUUAACUCGCUUUGAUUAAGUCCCUGCCCUUUGUACAUACCGCCCGUCGCUACAACCGAUUGAAUUAUUUAGUGAGGUCUCCGGACGUGAUCACUGUAACGCCUUGUGUGUUACGGAUGUUUCGCAAAAGUUGACCGAACUUGAUUAUUUAGAGGAAGUAAAAGUCGUAAAAAGGUUUCCGUAGGCGAACUUGCGGAAG
rnacentral:rRNA from 1 species